UACGUAGGGGGCAAGCGUUGUCCGGAAUCAUUGGGCGUAAAGCGCGUGUAGGCGGCUCGAUAAGUCUGCUGUGAAAGUCCAGGGCUCAACCCUGGGAUGCCGGUGGAUACUGUCGAGCUCGAGUCCGGAAGAGGCGAGUGGAAUUCCUGGUGUAGCGGUGAAAUGCGCAGAUAUCAAGAGGAACACCAAUUGCGAAGGCAGCUCGCUGGGACGUAACUGACGCUGAGGAGCGAAAGCGUGGGGAGCGAACAGG
rnacentral:rRNA from 1 species